rnacentral:lncRNA from 1 species
CCUCAGGUUUCCUCCGCCCCAUCACAGUGCGGGAGCUUUACUACGCUGCCCACUCUCAAUAGGCAGGGCUGACGGUAAGAUUUCAGAUGCCGGCCAACCUCUCAGAGGGAACAGGUGUCCCCUCUGUCUGCCCGUGGUCGAGGUCCCGUGGUGGAAGCAUGGGAAAGGGCAGCCACCGCAGAGGUUCUACCCCAGCGGACAGGUAACAGAGCGCCUUUCAACUCGGCCUGAAUUCAGCUAAAUUGGUAUCCUUUUAGGCACCACGGGAAGCAGUUGGAUCUAGGAAAUAAAGAGCGGAAAUUUGCAGAGUGAUUCCCAGUUGGCUUGAGGAGUAUGGAGCUCUUACAAUGGGAAAGGAGAGGAACUAUUUUGAUGUGUAAAUGAGAUAAGAAAAAAGGGUCUUAGGCCAGAAUUGCUUAACUUUAUUGCCUUAAUGGAGGUGAUCAGACUACACUAAUUGUGUAACCAGUGAAUAAUUCAGUGACUGAAAUAUACUGCCCUCAACGGACUUUAGCAAACACAUCAACAAUCACCUUUCCGACAAUUUCCUGGGGACAUUUUUUUCUUUCAGGCUUGAGAUGAGGAGGGGUUUUAAGCCUGGUGGUGAGCAGAUCAUUAAGAAGAGAGAUCAAAAGAGCAGCAGGGUCAGCCCUGAAGGAAGCAGCUCAUCAGUCUGACCUGUGAUCACAGGUGCAGGUGUGAUGGGGAACACAGGGGCAGCAAAAUAUCUCAGAGGCUAACACCUUUAACCACCAGCAGCGCCAGGGAGUUGUAAGAGGGGGAGCUGUGAGGGGGCUGGAUUGUUUAUAACAGAGGGUGCAAUAGCCAAAAUGUUUCAUGGGCAUUAAUGUAAUACUAUUCACUCAUAUCAUUCAGAUACAUGUAAAAUGUUGCAUUCACAAUGAUCCCAAAAAAUCACGAUCAAAUUUGAGGUCAUCGCAACAGCAUGUGUGGACUUAGUGGACAAACAGUGACCUUAACCUUCCUCCUGUGUUAGCUUUUACAAAACACCCACUAUGUUAAGGGUCAGUUUCAACCCGUGUCUUAAAUCAGCCACAAAUUACACUAAAAACAAUUCUCUAUCGUCCAAUUUGGUUCUCAUCUCUAGGCUAACUUGUUAGGCUUCAUUAUCCAUGAAAAUAUUGCUAAUAAUAUUUUUCAUUGUGGGUCUCUGGGCCUGUCUUUGUCAGUAUACCCCUCACACAGACAAUUUUACUAAAUUGAUCUCGUAUGUCUGGACAUGCCUGACAUUGUUAUUUGUCCAGGUGAAAACAUGGAAAAAUAAGAAUUUCCUCGAUCUCAUAUAAUUGGAAGAGGAUCUGACUGUCAGUGUGGUGCCUGCCAGUGCACUUGUGAUUUCAGUUUUUGCUCUAAUUAUUAGAUAUAAAUCUAAUUGGGUCAACAGUGACCCUAACACGACAAGUGCCAUAAUUUUAAUAAGAGCAUUUUAUAAUUUAGUCAAUUUUAUCUUUUAUUUUGUUGAAAUAGAAGUUCCUGACAAAGUCAAAAAGCCUUGAUGCAAAAAAGCAAAUUUAAGUGGUUCUUUAAAGCAUUUAAAAUAAAAAUCGGUUGGUGCAGACCCUAUAACACAGGAGGAGGGAUAAACUACAUCAGUGAUUAGCUUUCUAUCUAAUUAGGGAGUCUCCUCCUUGUUGACCCCAUGAUUGUCCUCCAUUCACAGCCAAACAAUGUCUCCACCGUCCACCAUCCUCUUUUCAGUGAUUAGCAGUCCGUCGUCAAGCUAGCUGACGUCAUUCAGCUCUAACUUGUCUGUUAGUGACUACAGAGUAACUCAGGAGAACAAACAUUAUUGUUUUCUCUGAAUCAACUUAACGCUUGUUUUACGUCCUCAACUGGAAGCUGUUGGAGUUAGGAAUGGUUAUAAUGUCAGAGAACACAAACCAGACAAUCACAAAAGCAGAAGAGGACGUCAUUUGCAUCACUGUAAUAUCCGUACAAAAAAGUUUUUUUAAUUGAUGAACUCUAAGACCAGAUUGAUUUCUCUCUGUUAGAGUUAAACUAUUUAUAAGUCACACGUUUGAUUCAGCUUUGAAUGCUGCAGUGUGGUUCAAACAGCUACAUCUUUCAAAUCUUAAAGUAGUAUUUUUAGGCUCUCAGUGACAACACUCCCCCUGUGAUCCCCUCCAUUCAUAAAUGCAGCCCAACACAAACUAAGCUAAGCUAAAUCAUCAAAGUCAAGCAUGGCCUGGAGGAAGCUCCAUGGUUAUAGAACAAAGACAUUUACAAAUGUCAUGUGUGACCCCUACGCUCACAUUCUGCACAGUGAUAAUAUAUAUCGAUGGGAAUGCCAUUAAAAAACAGUUUCAAGCCCCUCCUGGAUUCAUUUGCGCUGACCCAGAAUGCAGUAUUUUCUUAACACAAGCAGCAGGCUGCUUUGAUGUUAUCUCCCUAUCCAAACAGUGGAGGGCCGGCUGCCCCCACCCCGCCUGUGGCCGCGAAGGACGGCGUCGAUUAAUCACAGUGAAGCCUGCAAGGGCGCACUCAUAAAUCGCCUCGCCGCUCCUUAAACAGGAGAGUCCCAGGGCGCAGCUCCGUC